rnacentral:lncRNA from 1 species
CGAAAUUACUUUUCCAGAAUCACAGGGAAAUAAGAAAGUGAAAGAAGCAUCAAGGUAUUCUGGACUAAGAAUGAGAUUCCCUUAAAGAAGAAUGGCACCUGGAAAUGGCUCUUUCGUGACUGAAUUCAUUCUGGCGGGAUUAACACAUCAGCCAGAUCUCCAGUCCCCUCUGUUCUUCCUGUUUCUAGUAAUCUAUGUGGUCACUCUGUUGGGAAACUUGGGCUUGGUAACUCUAAUUGGGCUGAACUCACACCUUCAUACCCCCAUGUACUUCUUCCUCUUUAACUUGUCCUUCAUAGAUCUCUGUUAUUCUUCUGUGUUUACACCCAAAAUGCUAAUGAACUUUAUUUCAGAGAAGAAUAUUAUCUCCUUCAAGGGGUGCAUGACCCAACUUUUCUUUUUCUGUUUUUUUUGGUCAUUUCUGAAUGUUAUGUGCUGACGUCAAUGGCGUAUGAUCGCUGUGGCCAUCUGUAACCCACUUCUGUAUCACAUUGCCAUGUCUCCUACAGUGUGCUCCAGCCUUAUGUUUGGUUCCUAUUUGAUGGCCUUUUCUGGUGCCAUGGCCCACACUGGAUGCAUGCUGAGACUGACUUUCUGUGAUGCGAACACCAUCGAUCACUACUUCUGUGACAUCCUCCCUCUGCUCCAGCUCUCCUGCACCAGCACCUACAUCAAUGAGCUGGUGGUUUUCACUGUGGUUGGCAUCAACAUCAUUGUGCCCACUGUUACCAUCUUUAUCUCUUAUGGUUUCAUCCUCUCCAGCAUCCUCCAUAUCAGUUCCAAGGAGGGCAGGUCCAAAGCUUUCAGCACUUGCAGUUCCCAUAUAAUUGCUGUUUCUCUGUUCUUUGGAUCAGGUGCAUUUAUGUAUCUCAACCCAUCUUCUGCUGGGUCCAUGGAUAAGAGAAAAUUAUCUUCUGUCUUUUAUACAAAUGUGGUUCCCAUGUUGAACCCCUUAAUCUACAGCCUGAGGAACAAAGAUGUUAAAUUUGCCCUAAGAAAAGCCCUGAGUAGUAGGAAACUUUGAUAAGUAAUAGUAUGUGUCUGUGUGUAUAGUCACAAGACAGGGAUAUUCUGUUUGUUUAAUUAUAAUAUUAUAGUAGCAGCCUUCUUAUCCUAUUUCUUUUUACCAUGGUAAAAAAAACUGAGUCUUCUUUAAAUUGAUUAUAAUUUUUCUGGAA